UGAAUACGAGAUGCUACGGCGUCGAAGCAGUGUAUGUCAGACUUCCAAGAAAAGCUCGCAAUGUCAUAAAUAAAGAAUGCCUGUACCAUAACCGACACAGGUGGGUAGGUAGAGUAUACUAAGGGGCGCGAGAUAACUCUCUCUAAGGAACUCGGCAAAAUAACUCCGUAACUUCGGGAGAAGGAGUGCCUUCUUUAAGAAGGUUGCAAUAACAAGAUCCAAGCAACUGUUUAUCAAAAACACAGGUCUCCGCUAAGUCGUAAGACGAUGUAUGGGGGCUGACGCCUGCCCAGUGCCAGAAGGUUAAAGAAGCUGGUUAGCAAUAGCGAAGCUGGUGACUGAAGCCCUGGUGAACGGCGGCCGUAACAAUAACGGUCCUAAGGUAGCGAAAUUCCUUGUCGGGUAAGUUCCGACCCGCACGAAAGGCGUAAUGAUUUGGAUACUGUCUCGGAGAGGGACUCGGUGAAAUAGACUUGUCUGUGAAGAUGCGGACUACCUGCACCAGGACAGAAAGACCCUAUGAAGCUUUACUGUAACCUGAAAUUGAAAUUGGACUUUAUUUGCGCAGUAUAGGUGGGAGGCGUUGAAAGUAAUCUUGCGGGAUUAGUGGAGCCAUCAGUGAGAUACCACUCCUAUAAUGUUAGAUUUCUAACUUUGGAUCAUGAUCUGGUCAAAGAACAGUUUCAGGCGGGCAGUUUGACUGGGGCGGUCGCCUCCCAAAUAGUAACGGAGGCGUACAAAGGUUUCCUCUGAACGGGUAGAAAUCGUAUCUAGAGUGUAAAGGCAUAAGGAAGCUUGACUGUGAGACCUACAAGUCGAGCAGGGACGAAAGUCGGUCUUAGUGAUCUGACGGUGCUGAGUGGAAAGGCCGUCACUCAACGGAUAAAAGUUACUCUAAGGAUAACAGGCUGAUCUCCCCCAAGAGUUCACAUCGACGGGGAGGUUUGGCACCUCGAUGUCGGCUCAUCGCAUCCUGGGGCGGUAGUACGUCCCAAGGGUUGGGCUGUUCGCCCAUGAAAGCGGUACGCGAGCUGGGUUCAGAUCGUCGUGAGACAGUUCGGUCCAUAUCCGGUGUAGGCGUUAGAAUAUUGAGAGGAGCCUUCUCUAGUACGAGAGGACCGAGAAGGACAUACCUCUGGUGUACCAGUUAUCGUGCCAACGGUAAACGCUGGGUAGCUAUGUAUGGAGAGGAUAACCGCUGAAAGCAUCUAAGUGGGAAGCCCACCUCAAGAUGAGUAUUCUC
rnacentral:rRNA from 1 species